CAUAGACAUUUCCACGUCUUAUUUCUUUGAAUACUAAGCUAUUGUCAAUUGAGUUGGUUAUGAUGCAUAGGGAUGGUUUAAACAGAACAUCAAAGCCUUAUCACAUAAUUGACUUAUGCUAAGUUAUGUUUAAGACCAUCUACCAAUCGUACAUUAUCAACAAAGGUUGAGGAGGUGAUUUGUAUUUUACCUAUACCAAUGAUGUGA
rnacentral:lncRNA from 1 species